rnacentral:rRNA from 1 species
AAUGAACGUUGGCGGCAUGGAUUAGGCAUGCAAGUCGCGCGAUAAGAUUCCUUCGGGAAUCCGAAAGCGGCGAAAGGGAGAGUAACGCGUAGAUGAUCUACCCCGAGGACUGGGAUAGCGGCGGGAAACUGCCGGUAAUACCAGAUGAUGUCUCCGGACCAAAGGUGUGAUUCCGCCUUGGGAUGAAUCUGCGUCCUAUUAGCUAGUUGGUGAGGUAACGGCUCACCAAGGCGAAGAUGGGUACCGGGUGUGAGAGCAUGACCCGGCUCACUGGGACUGAGACACUGCCCAGACACCUACGGGUGGCUGCAGUCGAGAAUCUUCGGCAAUGGGCGAAAGCCUGACGGGGCGACGCCGCGUGUAGGAUGAAGGCCCUCGGGUUGUAAACUACUGUUGCGCACUAGGAAAAGUGUGAGGUAAUAGCCUUGCACCUGACCAAUGCGUGAGGAAGCACUGGCUAACUCCGUGCCAGCAGCCGCGGUAAA